rnacentral:rRNA from 1 species
CGUUUAUUUGAUAGUGCCUUACUACUUGGAUAACCGUGGUAAUUCUAGAGCUAAUACAUGCUAAAAACCCCAACUUCGGAAGGGGUGUAUUUAUUAGAUACAAAACCAAUGCCCUUCGGGGCUCUUUGGUGAUUCAUGAUAACUAUACGAAUCGCACGGCCUUGCGCCGGCGAUGGUUCAUUCAAAUUUCUUCCCUAUCAACUUUCGAUGUUUGGGUAUUGGCCAAACAUGGUUGCAACGGGUAACGGAGGGUUAGGGCUCGACCCCGGAGAAGGAGCCUGAGAAACGGCUACUACAUCCAAGGAAGGCAGCAGGCGCGCAAAUUACCCAAUCCCGACUCGGGGAGGUAGUGACAAUAAAUACUGAUACAGGGCCCUUUCGGGCCUUGUAAUUGGAAUGAGUACAAUUUAAAUCCCUUAACGAGGAACAAUUGGAGGGCAAGUCUGGUGCCAGCAGCCGCGGUAAUUCCAGCUCCAAUAGCGUAUAUUAAAGUUGUUGUGGUUAAAAAGCUCGUAGUUGAACCUUGGGCCUGGCUGGCCGGUCCGCCUCACCGCGUGCACUGGUCCGGCCGGGCCUUUCCCUCUGUGGAACCCCAUACCCUUCACUGGGCGUGGCGGGGAAACAGGACAUUUACUUUGAAAAAAUUAGAGUGCUCCAGGCAGGCCUAUGCUCGAAUACAUUAGCAUGGAAUAAUAAAAUAGGACGCGCGGUUCUAUUUUGUUGGUUUAUAGGACCGCCGUAAUGAUUAAUAGGGACAGUCGGGGGCAUCAGUAUUCAACUGUCAGAGGUGAAAUUCUUGGAUCAGUUGAAGACUAACUACUGCGAAAGCAUUUGCCAAGGAUGUUUUCAUUAAUCAGGAACGAAAGUUAGGGGAUCGAAGACGAUCAGAUACCGUCGUAGUCUUAACCAUAAACUAUGCCGACUAGGGAUCGGACGGUGUUAUUCAUGACCCGUUCGGCACCUUACGAGAAAUCAAAGUGCUUGGGCUCCAGGGGGAGUAUGGUCGCAAGGCUGAAACUUAAAGAAAUUGACGGAAGGGCACCACCAGGGGUGGAGCCUGCGGCUUAAUUUGACUCAACACGGGGAAACUCACCAGGUCCAGACACAAUAAGGAUUGACAGAUUGAGAGCUCUUUCUUGAUUUUGUGGGUGGUGGUGCAUGGCCGUUCUUAGUUGGUGGGGUGACUUGU